GGAGCCACAGCUUUAAAUCCCCAAGCACAGGGCCGCAGGCUCUGAUGACACAGCACACGGUGUGAUUCUGUGAGCCCAGGAGUGCUGACCCUACAUUGCCCAACAAGCGCAUCUGACUGGUGCCGCUUGAACUACGGACUGGGCACCUGCUCGUCUGUCCUAGCCUCUGAGAAGGGCAGCCAUGUUUCACUCUUGCAGACACAAGCCUCAGCUUUGCCUUAGGCCUGACACGGACUGCGCUGCUCUUAACCAGCCUGAAACCCACCACUGGCUGAAAGUCACAGAAGCUCCUCACUGGCCUAGUUCACGGUUUGUGAGGUAUUUUGUAAGCGUUGCAGCGUGCCGAUUUCUUAGCGGCCUAUUUCUGCUCUCCCCCAGGGAAGCCGGAGCUUGGAGGAGAGAUUUCCACACGCAGGUCGCUAGAGAGAGUACCAGAUUAAGGAGCUUCCCAAUGGUCCUCAGUCCUCCAGUUUGGAGACCGCAGCUCCAGUCCACUCGGUACAAGUCCAGAGUCCCUACAGCAGUGAACAGGCCAGGGUGCCCAGGGAGAUGGGCUCGUUUGGGAUGGACCAUUUCUGUUUCACUGCCAAACAGUGACCCCCAGUGGCUGGCCAAAGUAUCUACAUUACACACCAUAGCGUGAAUCUACUUAGUCAAACUUUCAUACUUUUGUGACAGCUACUGUCAUACAAAACUAUGUUCCGGCCUAUGGGUCUGGAG
rnacentral:lncRNA from 1 species